AUCCUGGUGCACGGGCUUUACGCAAUUCAGUGAAGGUUUUUCCUGAGAAUGUGUUUUUGCUAGUUGAAAACUAUACCAUGACCACUCCUAGCUGGCCAAGGCCGGCUGGGGAAUCUUUGGAACUGUCUCUCUUUUCUUGACU
rnacentral:snRNA from 1 species